GCAUUAAUGGGGUAGUGGUAACCUGGGUCGUUGCCAUCACACAUCUCGCAUGGUUCGUCGACCCGCCGGGGGUUCGAUUCCCUCUUAAUGCA